rnacentral:lncRNA from 1 species
UACACAGACUUACCAUUUUGUAACCUUACAGGUCAGGGUCUUAGUAAAGGUAGUGUUUGUUCAGAGUUUGGGGGUAAACCCCUUCUUGUCCUUUCCAGCUCCCAGAGGCUGAUAGAAUUUACUAAUUCAACCCAUGGCCUGUGUCCCUCCAACCUCUGUCUCUGUGGUCACAUCUCCUUCCCUGGCUCCAGCUCUCAUCCCUAGCUUAUGGGGACCGCUUGCACUUGGCCGUGUGAACAGUCCCGUACCAUCUCUUCACCUUGAGAUCCUCAAUUUCAUCCUGUCUGGAAAGCUGUUUGCUCUCGCAGGCUUGGGAUUUUGACAUCUUCGGACAAGCCACUGUUCCAUUUACCACUGUCACCAUUUGGGGAAGUCACACACUUACUGUAAUACUCUUCUCUCGUUGGUGUCUUGCUGUGUCCUCCAGAGUCCCAUUGUCAGACAUUCAAUUUUAAAAGCUCCUCACUGUCAGACUCCUACCCUGCAGGCAUGGAGGGAGGGAAGGAUAACGAAGCCUUGGACCGUCAGUGCAGGAAUCCCAGACAACAGAGCUCUUUACAGUUUCAUGCAGCAUCGUACAAGUGCUGUGGCCCGCACUGGCACUGUCAGGAGCUCCGCAUUAAAGUGUAAUGAUGGCUGCAGAGGCAGAGUGGCCGGGGAGAGUGGGAAGGCUGUGAAUGAAGGAAAGGAAAACAUAUCAACUGGGACUGGGAAGGGAGAGUCAGAAGGAGCCCCUCUGGACUUGCCUGGGUUGCAGUAAACACCUUGGGCUGUCUCUAUGAAGAUAAAGCUGUCAAUUAAAACUAACUGUAAAUUCU